CAAAACAAUUGAGAAGAACCAGCAGUAGAACAAAAUUAUUUAAUUCAUUCCUUUUUAUGGUGAUUGUGAAGAAUGGGUACUUUUCACCACGAACUGCGUCUAUAUUCCAGAUAUAUAUAUAUACACAUUCUGGAGUUAUUCACCUUUUAACCUAAUUUCUGUUUGAAACACACCUUCAAUUCAAACCAACAGACAAUCAGAAACCAGAGCCAACCAGUGAAGAAAGUAAUGAAAGAGAUGAGAAGCAGAAACCCCGCUUAACCAAACAGGUGAUUUUUCUGAAUCCUACAAAUCAUGGUGAUUAAUAUUUAAUUAAUUUCAAAAUUUGAUUUUGUGGUGAGUUUAUAAUCGAUUUUGAAUGGAGAGUGAGAGUGAUUGAUAUUUUUAUUUUCUGAAUCCUAUGAGUCAACAACAUCUUCGUCGUUUCUAUGGUGAUUUAACAAAAAACUGAUGCCGAUUGUUUUAGAUGGCAAUUGGUGGGUGAUUUAGAGUUCCUUUAUGAUUACGAGUGUUGGGUUUGUAUGGAUUUUGAAUUUUUUGCAGGGAAGGAGAUGAAACAAGGGUUGAAAGAACACAAUAGACUCAUCUCCUCGAAUACCAGUUCACGUCCAGCAACUGUUCGAAGAAAGUCCCGAAAAGAAUUUCUCUUAUAUUACUAGUCCAUACAUCAUAUUUACCAGGUUUUGGACAACAAUGGCAAGGAUUUGGAUACAGUGAGGAUUGUUCAUUGGCUUUCAAUGUUGGUUUAGGGAUAAAGUAUGUGGUAGAUUGAGCUAAGAGUGAUAGACUGGUGAUGGUUAAAUAAAAUCUACUAGUGUUGGUGUAUGUUCAUUGACAUGGCUGUGGAGAUGGUGAGAAGCAGUAUGGGGGAUGAAUGAAGUUUGUGAGUCAGCUGUUUUGACAUGGAUUUGAUGGUGGUGAAUUGGUGGUAGUAUACAGAAGCUACACCAAUGGAGUAAUGGUUUCAGGGUUUGAUACUCCGGGAAACACUCCGGGGAGUAAUGAGGAGCCAGGAGUUGCAUGGAUGAGACUCAGAUGCAGGUGCAGGCAGAAAAUUGAUGAAAGAGUUGAGCUUGUGGCGCUGUUGCAGGCAGAGAAUGGAGGUAGAAUGUUGAUAUCAUGUUCUUGCAGUUUAUGUUGAAGAGGAAAUGAAAUAUAUGUUUUGGGUUGCUUAUGUUAGAAAACUUCUGACCAAGAUGCAAAGCGUAUCCAAGGCAACUCUUCAUUAGCAGUUCAUGCGCAACAUGUGUUUGAUAGAAGUUUUGAAUGAUCCAUCUACAAUCACAAGAUGAGUGAACUCAACGAUUCAAAGGGCUAAUAUGUCUUUUUAUGUCAUGUUAACUGCCCACGUGGAGGCUAACUUUCCAUCCAUCGUUUUUGGUCAAAUAAGUGUUGUGAUAUUUCGAUUGCGGUAAAUAAGAGUUCGUUGCUCGGACUUGUAAAGAUUUAAAAAUAAAGAUAUA